rnacentral:rRNA from 1 species
GAUAGAGGCCUACCAUGGUGGUAACGGGUAACGGGGUGUUAGGGCACGACACCGGAGAGGGAGCCUGAGAAACGGCUACCACAUCCAAGGAUGGCAGCAGGCGCGCAAAUUACCCAAUCCCGACACGGGGAGGUAGUGACAAUAAAUAACAAUACGGGGUUCUUAUGGAUCUCGUAAUUGGAAUGAGUACAAUUUAAAUCUCUUAACGAGGAACAAUUGGAGGGCAAGUCUGGUGCCAGCAGCCGCGGUAAUUCCAGCUCCAAUAGCGUAUAUUAAAGUUGUUGCAGUUAAAAAGCUCGUAGUUGAAUUUCGGGGUCAGUAGGUUGGUCAUGCCACUGGUAUGUACUGGUCUCACUGAUUCCUCCUUCCUGAUGAGCUGUAAUGCCAUUAAUUUGGUGUUGCGGGGAAUCUGGACUGUUACUUUGAAAAAAUUAGAGUGCUUAAAGCAGGUUAUCGCCUGAAUACAUUAGCAUGGAAUAAUGAAAUAGGACGGCAUGGUUCUAUUUUGUUGGUUUCUAGGAUCACCGUAAUGAUUAAUAGGGAUAGUUGGGGGCAUUAGUAUUCAAUUGUCAGAGGUGAAAUUCUUGGAUUUAUUGAAGACUAACUUCUGCGAAAGCAUUUGCCAAGGAUGUUUUCAUUAAUCAAGAACGAAAGUUAGGGGAUCGAAGACGAUCAGAUACCGUCGUAGUCUUAACCAUAAACUAUGCCGACUAGGGAUCGGACGAUGUUAAUUUUUUAAUGACUCGUUC